rnacentral:rRNA from 1 species
AACGUAGGACACAAGCGUUAUCCGGAGUUACUGGGCGUAAAGGGCGUGUAGGCGGACCUAUAAGUCUAUUCUGAAAGCUCCUGGCUAAACUGGGAGAGGCGAAUGGAGACUGUAGAUCUAGAGUGAGGAAGAGGAAAGUGGAAUUCCGCGUGUAGUGGUGAAAUGCGUAGGAGAUGCGGAAGGAACACCAGUGGCGGAAAGCGGCUCACUGGGUCUCUUCUGACGCUGAGGCACGGAAAGCUAGGGUAGCGAACGGG